UAGCUAGCAGGUGGCAUAGGUAUAUUUGAAAGUCGGCAGUAUCUUGACAGCGAUUAGAAUGUCCUCCGUCUGCUUGUCUUCUUGAUUCUUAAAUUUUGUGGAGCUCAAAUAGACAACAAAGCUUUGUGGAACUAAUUAAGUGUUAGCAUAAAUAUCUAGCCUUUAUCAUGUUGAGACUCCUCAAUAAAUAUUACUCCCUAUUUUUAUAUUUUCAUUUUAUAAAGCAGAAAAGAAAUAUUUAUUUUAUUUUUAUGCCACCACAGUGAAUGUACUUAUGGGUUUCAUGCCACUCAUAUACUCACAUGGGGCUUACUAUUCUUUAACAUUUUUAUUUUCUUUUUAAGAUAGUAUGAGCAUAAUUAACUAAGCAAACUAGUUGGAAUAAUUGAAAGGGAAAUGAUAACUACCAAGUUUACCUCUUGGCAAGGCAUUCGAUGUUUUUAAGUCCUCCGAACGGGACUCUCCAUUUUCUCAAUUGUCCUGGGAUUCGUUGGGUGGCGGAGUCGGUACUUCCGGCGGCGCCUCUUCUUCAUGUAUGGUUAUCUUCUCUUUCCAUUCCUGACUCGGUGCUACGGUCUCCUCUGGAUAAUUCUGUUUAAACUGUAUGUCUUUUGACCUUACCACUUCUCCUUCAUAGUCUGCCCAUCCGUCCUUGAUGAUUUCCCUCCUCUGGUUGCGAUUGCGUCAUUUCCUGACCUGCUUAGAUUCUUCAAAGAUGGAGUUAGGGUCAGUAAAAUAGCGGCGUACCUUCUCUGAGGGGAGGUGCAUAUGGACUUCUCCAGUUCCAAUGUAGAUGAUUGCUUUAACGGUGCUGAGGAACGGUCUUCCAAGGAUGAUGGGUGGAUCGUAUUCGUCUUCUCCCAUGUCAAUAACCUGAAAGUCUGUGUAGACAAAAUGAUCAUCUAUUUUGACUGGGACAUCAGUUACUAUUCCUUUAACUUCUCGAAAUGUCUGAUCUGCCAUCUGGAGCUGAAUGUACGUUGGU
rnacentral:lncRNA from 1 species